UACGUAGGGGGCAAGCGUUGUCCGGAUUUAUUGGGCGUAAAGAGCGUGUAGGCGGCCAUGUAGGUCCGUUGUGAAAACUCGAGGCUCAACCUCGAGACGCCGAUGGAAACCAUGUGGCUAGAGUCCGGAAGAGGAGAGUGGAAUUCCCGGUGUAGCGGUGAAAUGCGCAGAUAUCAGGAAGAACACCCGUGGCUAAGGCGGCUCUCUAGUACGGUACUGACGCUGAGACGCGAAAGCGUGGGGAGCGAACAGG
rnacentral:rRNA from 1 species